ACAGCAGCAGCCACGGGAAUACGUAGGGUGCGAGCGUUAAUCGGAAUUACUGGGCGUAAAGCGUGCGCAGGCGGUUUUGUAAGACAGGCGUGAAAUCCCCGGGCUCAACCUGGGAAUGGCGCUUAUGACUGCAAAGCUAGAGUGCGGCAGAGGGGGAUGGGAUUCCGCGUGUAGCAGUGAAAUGCGUAGAUAUGCGGAGGAACACCGAUGGCGAAGGCAAUCCCCUGGGCCUGCACUGACGCUCAUGCACGAAAGCGUGGGGAGCAAACAGGAUUAGAUACCCCGGUAGUCCCUGUCUCUUAUAC
rnacentral:rRNA from 1 species